GACGAACGCUGGCGGCGUGCCUAAUACAUGCAAGUCGAGCGGACGGAUGGGAGCUUGCUCCCAGACCGUCAGCGGCGGACGGGUGAGUAACACGUGGGCAACCUGCCUGUAAGACUGGGAUAACUCCGGGAAACCGGGGCUAAUACCGGAUAACUCUUUCCCUCACAUGAGGGAAAGCUGAAAGAUGGCAUCUCGCUAUCACUUACAGAUGGGCCCGCGGCGCAUUAGCUAGUUGGUGAGGUAACGGCUCACCAAGGCGACGAGGCGUAGCCGACCUGGGAGGGUGAUCGGCCACACGGGACCUGAGACACGGCCCGGACUCCAACGGGAGGCGGCGGAGGGGAAGCUUCGGCAAUGGACGAAGUCUGACGGAGCAACGCCGCGUGAGUGAUGAAGGUUUUCGGAUCGUAAAACUCUGUUGUCAGGGAAGAACAAGUACCGGAGUAACUGCCGGUACCUUGACGGUACCUGAACAGAAAGCCACGGCUAACUACGUG
rnacentral:rRNA from 1 species